rnacentral:tmRNA from 1 species
GGGCUUUUCCCCGGCCCUCCCCUCACCUAUAUUGGCGGUGUCGACCCGCGAGGGGCGACUAUGGUGAUAAACGAGCGGUGGAAUAAGCCUUUCGGACCCGGGGGCAGUACCCGGCGCCUCCACCCGAGCCCACGGGUCGCACGUGGGUUCCGGCGGGGGCGAACCAGGAUCGACGAGGGUCUAAAGACCGAUCUUUUGCCCGGCAUGAUACCGCCGUCAUCGGGUCAAAUUAUAGUUGCCAACGACAACUAUGCUCCGGUUGCCGUGGCCGCGUGAGCGGUUUACGGACUCCGGUAACAAGUCCUGACGUGUAGCAGCGUCCAGGCGGGGUUCGGGGGCACCUGGCAACAGAAGCCCUCACU